GUGAGGAAUAUUGGUCAAUGGGCGGGAGCCUGAACCAGCCAAGUCGCGUGAAGGAAGAAGGAUCUAUGGUUCGUAAACUUCUUUUGCAGGGGAAUAAAGUGCAGGACGUGUCCUGUUUUGUAUGUACCCUGAGAAUAAGGAUCGGCUAACUCCGUGCCAGCAGCCGCGGUAAUACGGAGGAUCCGAGCGUUAUCCGGAUUUAUUGGGUUUAAAGGGUGCGUAGGUGGUUUGAUAAGUCAGCGGUGACAGUUUGCAGCUUAACUGUAAAAAUGCCGUUGAAACUGUCGGACUUGAGUGUAAAUGAGGUAGGCGGAAUGCGUGGUGUAGUGGUGAAAUGCAUAGAUAUCACGCAGAACUCCGAUUGCGAAGGCAGCUUACUAAGCUACAACUGACACUGAAGCACGAAAGCGUGGGGAUCAAACAGGAUUAGAAACCCUGGUAGUCC
rnacentral:rRNA from 1 species